UACGAAGGGGGCUAGCGUUGUUCGGAAUCACUGGGCGUAAAGCGCACGUAGGCGGAUCUUUAAGUCAGGGGUGAAAUCCCGGAGCUCAACUCCGGAACUGCCUUUGAUACUGGUAAUCUAGAGAUCGGAAGAGGUUAGUGGAAUUCCCAGUGUAGAGGUGAAAUUCGUAGAUAUUGGGAAGAACACCAGUGGCGAAGGCGGCUAACUGGUCCGAUACUGACGCUGAGGUGCGAAAGCGUGGGGAGCAAACAGG
rnacentral:rRNA from 1 species